CCGUCCUGGGGGUUUGUAGGCGAUCUCGGCCCGCACAGUCAUCCGGGACUAGGCGUCCACGGCCCGGGGGGUCCGGGCUGGCGCGGGAGGGAGCGCCUCGGGGCCCGGCGGGAGUUCAGGGCGACUCGGGUCCCCUGCGUCCUCACCCACCACCGGCCCGGCCCCUCGCCGCUCGCUCCCGAGCAUCCGGCAGGCAUCCACCAUACGCCUUAGGCAAAAGUUACGCUCAUUAUUCUGGGUGUGUAGAAUACUUUGCUGUUUAAAAAUGAAAAAUAAAAUGGAGCGACCCCAAAAUUAGAUCGGAGUGUGUGGGUUAAAUCACCUGCGGCGCAGCCGUGUGGUGGGGCGCUGUUUAAUCGUUGCAGGGAAGAAGCAGGAGACUAUUUAAAUGCCAGGGAAAAUGCUAGCGGAAAGCGGGCUACGAAGGAUCCCGCGGUGCACCUGUGUCGUCAGAGCGAGGGACCUAGAAAGCGACGGAAACACGCCCAGCUGCAGUCUCGGGAUACUGGGGUCGCAGGUGUGAUUGACAUACAAAAAGGUGAACAUAUGUAACGUCUACAACUUGAUGAGUUUAGAAAUACAUAUACACCGUGAAGCCGUCACCACAGUAUAUGCCAUAAACCUGUCCAUCACCUCCAAGCAUUUCCUGCUGCCCUCUGAAUUUGUGAUGACACAACAUAAGACCUCCACUCAGCAAAGGCCAUAUUCCGUGGCAGAGAACAUGCUUACAGAGAACAUGUAAACUGAAAGGAGGAGAGACAAGGACAGAGGGCUUGGCUGACCUGGAGUGGGGUUCGGGGGCUGCCUGGUGUAGG